CCUCAUGACGGCCCCGGGAGGAGCCAGGUUUUCCCGGUGGGCUUCGGUCUCCUAGCGGUGUGGCAUCGGCUUUGGUUUUUCCGAACCGCGGGCCUCUCCGAGGCCGGGUUCCCACUUCCCUUUUCCGGAACGAAGCAGGGAAUCUUUUUUUCAACUGUUACCGGAGCUGAUGUCCGUUCUUAAUCCGUACACCCCUCCCAACUUGAGGGCUAGAAAGCUGCAAGGUUGGCUUUUGUCCUAACCCAUUUGUAACUAUGGACUUGCCAGAUAAGAGCCAGUGGGAUGAAACCACCUGUAACUUGGCUGUUUGUCAGCAUCCACAAUGCUGGGCAACUAUCCGCCGAAUUGAGAGGGGCCACCCUCGAAUCCUGGGCUCACCCUGUAAAGCUCCUCUGGAUGCUAACGACGAAUUUCCAGUGCUCACCAUUGUAAACAUCCCAGAUUCCUGUUUUCCAGCCAAGAGACAUGCUCAUCGUCAUUUACCAGGAUUUACCUUCACUAAGCCUCACUCUUCA